ACAGCAAGAUUAAGCAGCAGCAGGGCCCGGUGCUUUCCAGCAGCCAGAAGAAUGCUGUGAUCAAGAUGUUUCUCUCACAUCCGUGUGCUUAGCCGCCCUUGGAUGUUUGGCCCCCAGAGCACCUAAUCCUGUCUCUGGGCACGCGGCCAGGCCUCGCUGGGAGCCAGGCGGGGCCCACGGGGCAGUGACAGGCUGAAGACUCAACUAGAGUCAAGGACAGGGUCUCCAGCCAGGGUGGCUUGCCUAGCCACCGACGUCUCCCAGGCCCACGGUCACAGCAGACUCCUGGUGAAGACACUGAACCCCCCACCAGCCCCAUGUCCUCCCUGGGCAGGGCAGGAGGGGCUGCUGGAGAGGCCAGGGAGGAGGUGUGGGGCCUCGGUGGCAUUGGCAGGCCACCCCCACAGAGCGGCCCAAAGGUGGAAUUUGGCCUUGUUUAGGGAGUGUUGGCCCAGCUGGCUUACCAAAACAGGAAAGGCCUUUGGAUACAGAAACUGGGUGUUUUCCUGCUGGAUCUUCAUGGUCCUCCCGUCAUGGUUGCCGUAAGAAUAAGUGAGGUCCGGGGGGGUAAGGUCGGAGCCAGGACACCUGGACCCAGCCUGCUGGUUUGUCCUCUCCCUCCGUCUCUGAAGCCUCUUCACCGCUCCACUCCCAUCUGUGGAAAUCUUCCAUCCUCCUGAUUUUUUUUUUUUUGAGUCUGGGUUGCCGACAUCAAAACCCGUUAGGAGUUCAUCACGGCUUCCAGUUACCAUCAAAACCUCCAGUGAACUGUGAGAACGGUGUUGGUGCUGUGAUGGAGAAGUUAAUUGGGUUGAAUACACAGGCCAUGAUUUUAUCAUGCCGGGGACAUGGUCAAAAUAAGGCCAGGAAAAGGAAAUAUUUGACAACCAGCUCCUUGAAGAGCGGAACCGGCGCCGUCAGUGAUGGAGCAGCCGGCUGUGCUGUCAGCGGGGCCUGGCGGUGGAAGCGCCUCCAGUGUGCAUGAGCAUGUCUGAAGAUGGGGGGCUCAGGGGGGCACGUUUGCGUUUAGACCUGUCUGUGCGUUCUCCUGCGUGGCAGUCCUGAUUUCCAUACUUCUGGAGAAUGCAUUUCGUUAACAUUGAAAGCCAGUUCUCUUUUCCUGGCAGUUUUUUUCAUUUUAUUUUUGGCAUUUUUUACAAGAUACCGUUCGGGAAAGGCUUUUGAAAGGACGGAAGCGUAUUCACUGUGCGCCAGUACUCCUGGCUGUGCUGUGGUUUCUCCCGACGUGCACAUUUAUCUCCUAUG
rnacentral:sRNA from 1 species